UCCUUUCGCCCGAAACCCACUUUCAAAUGCAAAGCAAUUUCAUCUAAAUCCCAUUGCAAAUCAUGUCUUGUAUUUACAGUUCAGUCUCUUCUUUCUCAAUUUCAUCUAAAUCGUCUUCUUCUUCUCGCUCUAAAUUCAAGCCCAGAAUCUCUUGUUCCGUUGGAGGAACUGUUGCUGAACCAAAAACUAUAAAUGCAACAGAGCCUUUGUUGCUUGAUGCUGUUCGGGGUAAAGAAGUAGAAAGGCCUCCUGUUUGGCUUAUGAGACAAG
rnacentral:misc_RNA from 1 species